CUUCUCACGGAUAUAGUUUGGGGCAGUUUUUUUUAACCAUUUCAUCUUCUUUUUUCCUAAUUUCUGAUUAUUAUUUUUUACAUUAUUUUUUUCUCUCUUUCAUGUGUAGAGAUGAAUUUUGAUAAAAUGAAUUAGAAAAAACUACAAGCACUAUGCAAUAAAGCUGGAACAUGGAAUUCCAAGUAAUAGGUAAUCAUAAGAGUUCAAUGAGAAAUUGAGAUUGCACCAGAAAAGACAUUUAUACCUAGCUAGAGAAAGCUAUACAUUUAUACAAAGAAAAUGGUGUCGGUGAUGAUUUGGAGAAGCUUGAGGCUGCUGAACUUUCAACAAUAAAUGAGGCUGCCAAAAUUAGCAGUAGUGCAAGUUGGACCCAAAUCUUUCAUCAUCAUCUGCAAAGCAAGAAAAUAUUGACAUGUUCAAAGAAGUGGAAGAACAAUGUUUAUGAUUUGA